rnacentral:rRNA from 1 species
GACGAACGCUGGCGGCGUGCCUAAUACAUGCAAGUCGAACGCACUCUCGUUUAGAUUGAAGGAGCUUGCUCCUGAUUGAUAAACAUUUGAGUGAGUGGCGGACGGGUGAGUAACACGUGGGUAACCUGCCCUAAAGUGGGGGAUAACAUUUGGAAACAGAUGCUAAUACCGCAUAAAACCUAACACCGCAUGGUGUAGGGUUGAAAGAUGGUUUCGGCUAUCACUUUAGGAUGGACCCGCGGUGCAUUAGUUAGUUGGUGAGGUAAAGGCUCACCAAGACCGUGAUGCAUAGCCGACCUGAGAGGGUAAUCGGCCACACUGGGACUGAGACACGGCCCAGACUCCUACGGGAGGCAGCAGUAGGGAAUCUUCCACAAUGGACGAAAGUCUGAUGGAGCAACGCCGCGUGAGUGAAGAAGGUUUUCGGAUCGUAAAACUCUGUUGUUGGAGAAGAAUGUAUCUGAUAGUAACUGAUCAGGUAGUGACGGUAUCCAACCAGAAAGCCACGGCUAACUACGUGCCAGCAGCCGCGGUAAUACGUAGGUGGCAAGCGUUGUCCGGAUUUAUUGGGCGUAAAGCGAGCGCAGGCGGUUUCUUAAGUCUGAUGUGAAAGCCUUCGGCUCAACCGAAGAAGUGCAUCGGAAACUGGGAAACUUGAGUGCAGAAGAGGACAGUGGAACUCCAUGUGUAGCGGUGAAAUGCGUAGAUAUAUGGAAGAACACCAGUGGCGAAGGCGGCUGUCUGGUCUGUAACUGACGCUGAGGCUCGAAAGCAUGGGUAGCAAACAGGAUUAGAUACCCUGGUAGUCCAUGCCGUAAACGAUGAGUGCUAGGUGUUGGAGGGUUUCCGCCCUUCAUUG